UUCAGCGCCGAUGGUAGUUGGGGGAUCUCCCCCUGUGAGAGUAGGACGUCGCCAGGCAAAUGUGAAGAAAGAGUAGCUCUUAGGGGCUGCUCUUUCUUUGUUUUCAUGUAAUGGAUUCUUGGUUCGAAGAACAAAUUGGUUAUAGGUGUUGGCUUUUUUGCGUUUUUAUUUGUUGGAUAAAUGUUAUUGAAGUCUGAUUCGUACAACUAAUCAGAAACGAAGGACUGAUUGUGAGUGAAACACGGAUAAUGUUUUUUUGGAUGAAGUUGGAGAAUGACGCAAUUCACAAGCAAAAUGACGCAAUAACGGAUGUAAACGACGCAAUAAAAAUAAAAAAGACGCAAUUCCGAUCUAUUUUGACGCAAUUAAUUUAUGCGAACCUAUAAUGCUCCAAUAAUUGUAGCCACAACCUAUAGUGUUGGCCCGAUUAUUACGGAUUUCUCAUAUGAAUAGGGCUAAAUCGUACUAUUUUAAUGAUAAAACCUCAUGAAAACACGUACUGAUUUUACUAUUAAACGGUCAAUCUAUUAGAAAGUUAAAUUAAAUAUCAAAAUUGCACCUCCAAAACAAACUAAAAUUAGCUUUUGCAUAAGAGUGACAACUCUCAUUCGCAAUUAAUUUUGACCAACUUCAGAUCUGGAACUAUCCUUAACUCUCAUUUAUUUUGUCAUGUUGCAGAAAAUAAGGGCAAUAUUCCCCCCUGGAAUACCUCAUCUAAACUUGGAGAUGCAUAGAUAACCUGAAAUUAAUAGUCAAGCAGAUAUGUUUACGAUUCUCUUCUAUGUUUAUAUGUAUAGUGUAGGUAUUCUAAACUGAACUCUCAGACAUUUAUAAAUUAUAAAAAAGGUAUUGUUAUUAAGUAUAUAUUUGUGAUAUUAUUGAUCUUCCGCCUUUUAUAAAGGAAUUCAAUUAAUAUCUCUUUUAGGCACUUUUAAGUGUUUAAUAACUUAGUAAAUAUAAAAGUUAAAAAACAUUUGAAAAGAAGUUGACUUCUGCGAAGUUAACUGGUAAAGUAUUAUUUGUUGCCACAAACGGACAACAGGACAACAAAUACACGACGAACUUGAUCAAAACUUCUUCAAAAAAGUUAUUGACACCAAGUUGAUGAUCGUGUAACAUAGUGAGGGUCGCUUCGAGAGAAGCACUUACACAUUGAACCUUGAAAACUGAACAAAACAAGACAAUACGUCAACGUUAAUUCUAGAUUUAUUUUUAAAG
rnacentral:rRNA from 1 species